rnacentral:misc_RNA from 1 species
GAUGAAGAACGCAGCGAAAUGCGAUAAGUAAUGUGAAUUGCAGAAUUCAGUGAAUCAUCGAAUCUUUGAACGCACAUUGCGCUCCCUGGUAUUCCGGGGGGCAUGCCUGUCCGAGCGUCAUUGCUGCCCUCAAGCACGGCUUGUGUGUUGGGCCUCCGUCCUCCUCCCGGGGGACGGGCCCGAAAGGCAGCGGCGGCACCGCGUCCGGUCCUCGAGCGUAUGGGGCUUCGUCACCCGCUCUUGUAGGCCCGGCCGGCGCUUGCCGACACAUCAAUCUUUUUUCCAGGUUGACCUCGGAUCAGGUAGGGAUACCCGCUGAACUUAAGCAUAUCAAUAAGCGGAGGA